rnacentral:tRNA from 2 species
GGCCGGAUGGUGGAGACGGGCAGGCAGCGUGGCGUCUUCGGGCCGCCGGUGGCGGUGCCGGACGGCGCCCCGGAGUUCGACCGCCUGCUCGGCGUC